CACGUAGGGUGCGAGCGUUGUCCGGAAUUAUUGGGCGUAAAGAGCUCGUAGGCGGUGUGUCGCGUCGGCCGUGAAAACCUGCAGCUUAACUGUGGGCUUGCGGUCGAUACGGGCAUCACUGGAGUUCGGCAGGGGAGACUGGAAUUCCUGGUGUAGCGGUGAAAUGCGCAGAUAUCGGGAGGAACACCGGUGGCGAAGGCGGUUCUCUGGGCCUUACCUGACGCUGAGGAGCGAAAGCAUGGGGAGCGAACAGGG
rnacentral:rRNA from 1 species